rnacentral:rRNA from 1 species
UACGUAGGGCGCAAGCGUUAUCCGGAAUCACUGGGCGUAAAGGGUGCGUAGGCGGGUCUUUAAGUCAGGGGUGAAAUCCUGGGGCUCAACCCUGGAACUGCAUUGAAUACUGGGAGGCUAGAGUACUGGAGAGGAAACUGGAAUUUACGGUGUAGCAGUGAAAUGCGUAGAGAUCGUAAGGAAGACCAGUGGCGAAGGCGAGUUUCUGGACAGUUACUGACGCUGAGGCACGAAGGCCAGGGGAGCAAACGGG